AGUGAACGCUGGCGGUAGGCCUAACACAUGCAAGUCGAACGGCAGCACAGGAGAGCUUGCUCUCUGGGUGGCGAGUGGCGGACGGGUGAGGAAUACAUCGGAAUCUGCCCAGUCGUGGGGGAUAACGUAGGGAAACUUACGCUAAUACCGCAUACGACCUUCGGGUGAAAGAGGGGGAUCGCAAGACCUCUCGCGAUUGGAUGAGCCGAUGUCGGAUUAGCUAGUUGGCGGGGUAAUGGCCCACCAAGGCGACGAUCCGUAGCUGGUCGGAGAGGAUGAUCAGCCACACUGGAACUGAGACACGGUCCAGACUCCUACGGGAGGCAGCAGUGGGGAAUAUUGGACAAUGGGCGCAAGCCUGAUCCAGCCAUACCGCGUGGGUGAAGAAGGCCUUCGGGUUGUAAAGCCCUUUUGUUGGGAAAGAAGUCUUUCAGGCUAAUACCCUGGGAGGAUGACGGUACCCAAAGAAUAAGCACCGGCUAACUUCGUG
rnacentral:rRNA from 1 species